rnacentral:misc_RNA from 1 species
AAGUCGUAACAAGGUUUCCGUAGGUGAACCUGCGGAAGGAUCAUUACUGAGUUAGGGUUCUUUCGAGCCCGACUCCAUCCCUAAUCCGUUAAAUGUUCAAUCAUCCAUUUGUUCCGCUUUUUGGGCAUUGGGCCCCUUUGGGUUCCAGGUUCCCAAGUUCCUUGGGAAACCCGGGGCCACCGGGCCAGGGGAUGGGUUUUGAUUUGUAGUCCAACCCCUUCCUUGGGGCCCCCCGGUUGGCCCCUGCCCAAGUAGCCCUACACAAAAUUUCUUUUUACAAAUUUUUGUCUAAGUAUUAAAUAUAAAUUUAAUCAAAA